UUCCGUAGGUGGAACCUGCGGAAGG
rnacentral:rRNA from 3 species